GGAUGCGAUCAUACCAGCACUAAAGCACCGGAUCCCAUCAGAACUCCGAAGUUAAGCGUGCUUGGGCGAGAGUAGUACUAGGAUGGGUGACCUCCUGGGAAGUCCUCGUGUUGCAUCCCCGC
rnacentral:rRNA from 1 species